CCCUGGUAACUCAAAUGGUAAAGAGUCUGCCUGAAAUGCAGAAGAACCAAGUUCAAUCCCUGGGUCAGGAA
rnacentral:tRNA from 1 species